rnacentral:rRNA from 1 species
AUACGGAGGGUGCAAGCGUUAUCCGGAAUCAUUGGGUUUAAAGGGUCCGCAGGCGGACUGAUAAGUCAGUGGUGAAAUCCCGUAGCUUAACUACGGAACUGCCAUUGAAACUGUCAGUCUUGAAUUCGAUCGAAGUGGGCGGAAUGUGUCAUGUAGCGGUGAAAUGCAUAGAUAUGACACAGAACACCGAUAGCGAAGGCAGCUCACUAGGCCUGAAUUGACGCUCAGGGACGAAAGCGUGGGGAGCGAACAGAAUUAGAAACCCUAGUAGUCC